GGUAGAGACCGAUAGCAACCACGUGAUCAGUAAAAAUCGUGUAUUUUCACGUGAAAUUAUUUUUCGGAAUUCCGUACAUCGCCAUAGAGUAGUUGAAAAACAAAAAGGGGUUCCGAAAGUAAAAGUUGUUGCUGUGACUGAAUCGAUGAUUGAGAGGGUCGUCUCGACGAAAGAUAUAGAAAUUUGGCCAUAAUUUAGAUUAGGAAUACGUCAAUGUAAUAAUAGUGGACUAAAUGUUUCGUCCGUGCAGAAUGGCACUUUUUACCUCACGAAAUUCACCACUAUGCAUAGCUGCGCUACGUAAACAAAGUUGUUGAUGUAGCGUGAUCGUGAUGUCCGAGUGCUGCGAGUUUCAAUACUGUUUAUGUAGUCAUUGAGAGUUUAAACAAAGUUUCUUCUGAGAAGAGGAAUUCGAUGGAUGCAUUCAACGUGGACAACAAAAUCAUAAUUUCGUUUGCAUCAUCCUAAGGACCAGUGCAAGUUGAAAUGGGCUUCCAGCCAACAACUUCAACAGCAAUAUGCCAUGAAAAUCAGCAAGAAAGGUACUUCAUUUACAUUGAUGAUGUCAUAUCCCCUGGACCCCACAACUUUACAGGUUACAGAGAAAAUUCAAGAACUUCUGCAAAAUGUGGGACUUGGAUAGAAUCAAUAAUGUAUUUGUGAGCCCAGAGCAAUGGAUAUAUUGUGCAACAUACUAAAGUGUGAAUUUAAUGGAAAACAAGUACAUGUACUCAUGUAUUACAUGUCUUUUUUAAAGACAAUAAUAUUGUAUAAUAACCGGCGCGAGCCCCCCUAAAAUUUUCAAGUUUAAAGUAAAUCGUGGUCUCUUGUUUAGAGAAAUAUAUACGAUAAAAGAAACUAUAAUUUCCUCCACUCUCAGAGAAAUAAAUGUCUGACAAAAUCUUUUGAUUUAUUGAAUUACUUUUAGUGGGAGAACUGCUACUUUUUCCAAAACCCUUAAAAUUUGCGUUAUUUUAUUAAUUUCACCUUAUUAAAAAUGACAGAAAAUAAUCAAAAUGACUACAUAGGAGACAUAUUUUAAGCCCUAAAAAAUCUGUAAAAUCCAGGAGUUUCUGGGGGAAUCCCCCCUUCAAGGCGGCCCCCAGACCCCUGCCUCAUACAGUUGCACCCCCCCCCCCCUCCCAACUUCAAUUCCUGAUCCGCCCCUGAAAUAGCUUAUAGAAACCUUCUUAUUGUCAUGUUCAAUUUUCAAAGAGGUAAUUUGGGAAUGCUUAAACAUUCUAAGUUAUAAAAAGGUCAGUAGUUUAUCUCUGCUGGCUGAAUCUUUCUUCUCAAUGCACCGAGUGCAAUUCAUGACGUCUAUGUUCCUGCUCAUUCUUUCUCCUCCAUACCAUGCAGUAUAUUAAAGGGGUUGGGAUGUAAUGGAGACAUUUGUUUUAACAAAUAUAAAUUGUAUUUCAAUUUUUUGUGGGGAUUUUUAUUUGGGAAAACUCUUGAUAUUAAUCAUCAAAUAUGAUGACGUAUGAUAAAUCUAUAUUCUGAGUGUAAGUGCACAAAGGUCAACAACGAGAACUACAACAAAAUAUAAGCUAAAAUUUGAAAUACAUACUUUCUGUAUUAUAUUUAUUAAUUUAAAAAAGGUAUUACAAAGAAUCUUCGAAUUUCAGCAAGCUGUUUUUGAUGGAUUGUUUACAACAUCUUUUAAUAACCCUUUUUCUUAAGAAAAUGUGUACUUUGUUAAAAGGGGGUGGGGUUAGGAAUUUUUUGCUAGUUCCAUAUUGAACCCCAUUAUGGUGUAUAAUUUUUUUCAUAUAUUUUACUUACUAAUAGACUGACCACUUAAUGAAAUAAAAUACGAAAUUUGAUGGGUAAUUUUUUUGCAGCUUAAGCAAAGGUAUGACCCUGUGUGCAAAUAUUGUACACUGUUUUAAGGUAAUUGGCCAAUGUAGCUGUGUUGAAGUAAUGUUGUUGCAUGUUAAUAAUGAUUGCUGAACUUGAAAUUGAUGUGUAAUAUACAAUUAUGUGAAAGGUUGUUUGGAACCAUAUAUGACAAGUUAUGAUCCUCUUUACAAUAAAAAUGUUAUAGCUCUAUUUGUAUAUUGCUCUCUACUUAUUUUUCUUCACUUUUUACGCUUUAC